rnacentral:rRNA from 1 species
GAUGCACGCUGGCGGCGUGCCUAAUACAUGCAAGUCGAGCGAACAGACGAGGAGCUUUCUCCUCUGACGUUAGCGGCGGACGGGUGAGUAACACGUGGAUAACCUACCUAUAAGACUGGGAUAACUUCGGGAAACCGGAGCUAAUACCGGAUACUAUAUUGAACCGCAUGGUUCAAUAGUGAAAGAUGGUUUUGCUGUCACUUAUAGAUGGAUCCGCGCCGCAUUAGCUAGUUGGUAAGGUAACGGCUUACCAAGGCAACGAUGCGUAGCCGACCUGAGAGGGUGAUCGGCCACACUGGAACUGAGACACGGUCCAGACUCCUACGGGAGGCAGCAGUAGGGAAUCUUCCGCAAUGGGCGAAAGCCUGACGGAGCAACGCCGCGUGAGUGAUGAAGGUCUUCGGAUCGUAAAACUCUGUUAUUAGGGAAGAACAAAUGUGUAAGUAACUAUGCACGUCUUGACGGUACCUAAUCAGAAAGCCACGGCUAACUACGUG